AAUAUUUAAUUUAUUUAUAAUGUCAAUAACAAGUGGUAAUGGUUGUAGUAAUUGAUAGUGAUGGCUAAGUGGUAGUGGUGGGGGUGAUGGCGGCGGCAGCGGCAGCGGCGACAACAGCGGUAGUUAGAUGGUGGUGGUAGUGGUGGUGGCGUCGACAGCAGCAAAGUGAGAUAGUGGUAGUGCUAGUGGUAGUGGCCAAGUGGUGGUGACAAUAACUAAAUGGUGAUAAUAGUGGUCAAGUGAUAGUGAUAGAAAUGGUGGUAAUAGGAUGAUGGUGAUGGCGGUGGUGACAAAGUAGAAGUAAGUAAUCAUAAUUACAUCCAUUUUUUUAUGUGAUGACCCUCAGGUUACUUUAAGUAUAAUUAGUUAUGUUAUGUAAUUGUCAUUUCAUUACCUUAAUUUUUUUUUUUAUGUUAUCAA
rnacentral:misc_RNA from 1 species